AAUUUUCCUCAAGAGGGUAUACAUCGGUAAUUUUUAGAUUUGAGUUUAGUAUGACAUUCAUUAUCACUAAUCUGGUAAAAAAAAAUCAUUAUGGAUGAAGCCAUUUCUGGUUUUUAGAGGGAUUGCUUCAGAUGCUUGGCCCCAACUGCAGAUGUUUAUCCUGCUAUUACCCCAAGGGAAUUUUUACAGUUAUUUCGACCUUUAGUAACCGUUUAUUUGUAAGUUCCACACCACCCGUACAUACCAUGUAUCAGAG
rnacentral:lncRNA from 1 species